UACGGGGGGAGCAAGCGUUGUUCGGAUUUACUGGGCGUAAAGGGCGCGUAGGCGGUCAGCACAAGUCAGUUGUGAAAUCUCCGGGCUUAACUCGGAAAGGUCAACUGAUACUGUGCGACUAGAGUGCAGAAGGGGCAACUGGAAUUCUCGGUGUAGCGGUGAAUGCGUAGAUAUCAAGAGGAACACCUGCGGCGAAGGCGGGUUGCUGGGCCGACACUGACGCUGAGGCGCGAAAGCUAGGGGAGCGAACGGG
rnacentral:rRNA from 1 species